rnacentral:lncRNA from 7 species
GUGCUUUAGAAAUAAUGACAAUCUCCAAUCAUUUUGAAGAAGGAUACAUAUUAUUGAUAGAAUUAAUAGCACGAUAUUCAACAUAUGAACUAUUUAAAAAGAAAAUAGGAAUGCAAAGAUAUAUCUAUGUUGAUAUUGGUAUCCAGCACACACAUAUCGAGUAUUAUAAAUAAGUUAGCUAGUUUUUUAUUCAGGAUUUUGCUUGAUUGGAUAAAAAGAUUAAAUAGAAGCAACAAAUUAUUCGUAGAGCUGAGAUGUUGAAGCAGAUAGGCAAAUAAGAAGGAAAUUACACAUUGAACAU